rnacentral:rRNA from 1 species
AUAGCGUAUAUUAAUGUUGCUGUUGUUAAAAAGCUCGUAGUUGGAUCUCGGUUUCGGGCGGGUGGUGCGCCUUGCGGCGUCUACUGUCUGCUCGGACGAUUUUGUUGGUUCGUUCAUGGUGCUCUUAACCGGGUGCCUUGAGUGGCCAGCACGUUUACUUUGAAAAAAUUGGAGUGCUCAACGCAGGCGCUACAGCCUGAACAUUUGUGCAUGGAAUAAUGAAAUAGGAUCUCGGUUCUAUUUCGUUGGCUUUCGGAGUCGAGGUAAUGAUUAAUAGGGACAGACGGGGGCAUUCGUACUGCGACGUUAGAGGUGAAAUUCUUGGAUCGUCGCAAGACGAACUACUG